rnacentral:rRNA from 1 species
AUACGGAGGAUCCGAGCGUUAUCCGGAUUUAUGGGUUUAAAGGGAGCGUAGGCGGAUUGUUAAGUCAGUUGUGAAAGUUUGCGGCUCAACCGUAAAAUUGCAGUUGAUACUGGCAGUCUUGAGUGCAGUAGAGGUAAGCGGAAUUCGUGGUGUAGCGGUGAAAUGCUUAGAUAUCACGAAGAACUCCAAUUGCGAAGGCAGCUUGCUGGACUGUAACUGACGCUGAUGCUCGAAAGUGUGGGUAUC